rnacentral:rRNA from 1 species
ACACAUGCAAGUCGAGCGGAGCGAGGGUGCUUGCACCUUAGCUUAGCGGCGGACGGGUGAGUAAUGCUUAGGAAUCUGCCUAUUAGUGGGGGACAACGUUUCGAAAGGAACGCUAAUACCGCAUACGUCCUACGGGAGAAAGCAGGGGAUCUUCGGACCUUGCGCUAAUAGAUGAGCCUAAGUCGGAUUAGCUAGUUGGUGGGGUAAAGGCCUACCAAGGCGACGAUCUGUAGCGGGUCUGAGAGGAUGAUCCGCCACACUGGGACUGAGACACGGCCCAGACUCCUACGGGAGGCAGCAGUGGGGAAUAUUGGACAAUGGGGGGAACCCUGAUCCAGCCAUGCCGCGUGUGUGAAGAAGGCCUUUUGGUUGUAAAGCACUUUAAGCGAGGAGGAGGCUUACCUAGUUAAUACCUGGGAUAAGUGGACGUACUCGCAGAUAGCACCGGCUAC